rnacentral:lncRNA from 1 species
GAACCAUUUACCCUUCACGUGCCUCUUUUUCCGUGUAUGUGCCUCUUUCUCCUUGUAUGUAAAAUGAGUGAAAGAAAGAGGAGAGCUAGAUGAUACCAUUGUAACUCUUGUAUUUCAAGACACUCGUUUCUGCCUUGUCUCAGAUUACAAUCAUUUAGAGAUACAGAAAUAGGUAUUACAGUCAGAAUCCACGUUUUAGAGUAUAUCUGCUGACCCCAUGUCUGUGGAAGAUACUGAGAUGCAGGUACUGAGAAUGGGCCUCAAAAUUUUUCUGAAGACUGUGCUCCAGGAAGCUAUGCUCAACCAAAUGAAAUUGGCCCUACUUGUCAUCCUAGCAUAGCAGGUUUCGGUUUAUGAAAGACAGAGAAUAUGCAGCUCUCUCAGACACCUAAAUAUGAAGUGGCUUUCCACAGAUCUCUUUUCGAAGGUCGCAAUGAUUUGUAUGACAGCUGCUAGCCCAAGAGAGAGUUCCAGAAGAGGGCUACCUAACAGGUGCUGUGGCAUUUAGAAGAGGAAUGGAGCCAUUGUCAACGCACAGCUUGCAGGGGAGCAGGAGAGUCAGUCUAAGAAGGAAAUGUGAUGAUGGAAACAGAGGUUGGAAGAUGGAAGAGGACCCAGAGUCAAGGAAUGCAGGUAGAAAAGAAAAGCCUGGAUUCUCCCCUAAAGCCUCCAGAUGGAACACAGCCCUGCCUCCACCUUGAUUUCAGGACUUCUUACCCCAAGAAUCAAGAUGUCAGUACCAUGGAAUGACAUGACCAACAAUAAUAUGUUGCAACUCUGAGAUACAGCUAGAAAUUCUCCGAAUAAGAUGCUGAUGGUCCUGCAGUCCAAUGCUGUGUGAUUUUCACUGUGGCCAGCUAUACAAGACUUAGCGUAUACUUCUCUC